rnacentral:rRNA from 1 species
GAUGAACGCUGGCGGCGUGCUUAACACAUGCAAGUCGAACGGAAAGGCUCCUGCUUGCAGGGGUACUCGAGUGGCGAACGGGUGAGUAACACGUGGGUGAUCUGCCCUGCACUUCGGGAUAAGCCUGGGAAACUGGGUCUAAUACAGGAUAGGACCACAUUUUGGAGGGUGUGGUGGAAAGUUUUUCGGUGUGGGAUGAGCUCGCGGCCUAUCAGCUUGUUGGUGGGGUAAUGGCCUACCAAGGCGUCGACGGGUAGCCGGCCUGAGAGGGUGUACGGCCACAUUGGGACUGAGAUACGGCCCAGACUCCUACGGGAGGCAGCAGUGGGGAAUAUUGCACAAUGGGCGCAAGCCUGAUGCAGCGACGCCGCGUGGGUGAUGACGGCCUUCGGGUUGUAAACUCCUUUCGCUAGGGACGAAGCGCAAGUGACGGUACCUGGAGAAGAAGCACCGGCUAACUACGUG